rnacentral:rRNA from 1 species
AUUGAACGCUGGCGGCAGGCCUAACACAUGCAAGUCGAGCGGAUGAAGGGAGCUUGCUCCUGGAUUCAGCGGCGGACGGGUGAGUAAUGCCUAGGAAUCUGCCUGGUAGUGGGGGAUAACGUCCGGAAACGGGCGCUAAUACCGCAUACGUCCUGAGGGAGAAAGUGGGGGAUCUUCGGACCUCACGCUAUCAGAUGAGCCUAGGUCGGAUUAGCUAGUUGGUGGGUUAAAGGCCUACCAAGGCGACGAUCCGUAACUGGUCUGAGAGGAUGAUCAGUCACACUGGAACUGAGACACGGUCCAGACUCCUACGGGAGGCAGCAGUGGGGAAUAUUGGACAAUGGGCGAAAGCCUGAUCCAGCCAGGCCGCGUGUGUGAAGAAGGUCUUCGGAUUGUAAAGCACUUUAAGUUGGGAGGAAGGGCAGUAAGUUAAUACCUUGCUGUUUUGACGUUACCAACAGAAUAAGCACCGGCUAACUUCGUG